AGAAAUGCCCCCAACAGCUUGUGAGAAGAUUCAUCCCGAGUUCCUCAGGCCUAAGGUGCAUGCACCACACUUGACAAUCUUGGAAGCGUUUUCGCAGACUGCUUGGCUCCCCUUGGCAGAUGUUCCUGAUCCAAGCAGAUGCCUGUUAUGUAAGGGGCCUGGGGAAUCUUUUCCCAAUUGGCAGUGCCCUGGGAAUGAAUCCAAAGGGAAGCCUGGGCAUCCUCAGUAUCAAGAAGUCUCUGAGAACAACUGGGUCUCUUUGGUGUGACCUCCACCUCACCGGAAACCUGGUCCUCUACACCUGUUCAUGUGGUUGAAUCACAGCAAGGGCUUCGGAAGCCAGCGGACCACUCAAGUGACCACGAGACACGUAUCACCGUCAUGUGACCACUGUGGAUCAGGGUCCCCUGCAUAUGCCUUUCCUGGGACUUCAGAGCACUGAACACAGAGAAGGGAGGAGGCUCUUCAAGUUCCAGCUAUGUCAGAAGCAGGAGCAUCCCUUUCUGAGCUCAACAGGUGGUCUGUACUCAUGAGCCAGUGUCACCAUCACAAGCCCGAUCUUGGUUGUACCAAUGAAUGAAACCAGUGCCUUAUGUUGAUUGGGACCCUCAUGUAAGAGCUGAAUUUUCUUCACUGCAAUUUUGAUGGGCACCCUAGGACAAUUCAUUAUAAAGCAUCCCCCCGCUCCAACAACUGGAACUAUUGAUUGGUGACUGUUAGAUGUCUCAUGUGCUUUGGAGGAAAAGGACAGGACAGUUUCAGACUGAAGGACAGAACUCUUGGGCACUAAGUAAAGGUUCUGUUUGUCAAGUGUUCUGUUCACCUGUCCUGCCGUGGAGAGUGGCAGAAUGGAGGUCUUUACUGCAGGGAUUAGCACAGGAACUCACUCUGACUUGACAAGAGAGCCCUCUGGGAUGAUGUGGCUGACCACUGAUACACAGCCAAAGGGCUUGGCCCAAGACCAUGGCUGGCAAGACAUAGAACAGGACAGUCGGUGCUGAGGAUCACAAGAUAACCCAGAGAAGUGGGGCCACAGCUCAUGUGCAGAGCCUAGGUCCGGGGCAGAGCACAUAUCUUGUGAGGCAUCGGUCGAUUGAGGAAGCUGAAGUUCGGGGUUAUGUCCAAGUCCAGAUGGGAGAUCCCAGGGGGCGGCUGGAAGGUGAACUUCUGCAGGAGGCUCGUGAAGAAAAGGAAGAGCUCCAUCUUGGCCAGUGACGCCCCAGCACAUACCCGACGACCUGGGGAGGUGGGACGUGGUGGAAGGUUAUUAAACCGACCAAAACUGAAGACUGUCUAGACAGAGAAAAAGGCCGUCCACAUGCCAUUUCUUCUCCUUCACCAAGUGCGAGUCAGUUAACCUCUUGUGAGCCACCUGGGCUCUGUCCCCCCAGCUGAAGGACUGGAAAUGCAAAAUGAAAUGCAUCUGAAGACUCUGCCUUACAAGCUCCCAUGAAGGACACAAGCAAUUUUGAUGACUUCAAGGGGACCCAGAGCAGACUUCUGUCCUUCACCUGAACUCUGCAAGGAUCUCGAGCCUCAGUACCAAUAGGUCCUCUUGUGUCCACCCAUCUGUCUCCUCAGAGUCCAGACCAAUUUGGCACCGAGUCUCCCAACGCCGCAGCGUCGGACUGGGGAAAGGAAACCGGGCUCUGCGAUUGGUCAAUGGGCCUGCCAAUCUGGAUUCGGAGCGUGUUGCGUGGUGCAGAUUCUAACAGCCCGCUUUGAAGGGUGAUGUUCUAUCUCGGCAGAGGUGAAAAAAAUUCCAUCGGAGUUGAGACCCUGAAUUCUCCUCCUGCUUCAGUUUACGCCAGGCAGCAGAGGACAUCUUGCACAAAGUCCAACUGAGCAAAUUCUCUUUGUUCCAUGGACGAAAAAGGUGCUGGGGAGAAAGAACCUGACGACAUCAAAGUUUCUCCAACACCAAUGAAGACAUGACAGUCCUUCCUGAAACUGACUCUUGAUAGGAAUGUUGACACACCCUCAUUUGGAAGUGACCGGUACCUACCUGGGAGGGAGAAGCAGAAGGCAGGGAGGCCGUCAGCGGGCAGAUGAGCUGGGGGCCGGCAGAGCCAGUCCUGAAGCGAGCACAGCAGAAGGAACGAGGCUCGGCCGCGCCCAACCGCCGACAUCUCUUCGUGCGCGGAGGGUGGGGAUCUGGGCAGCGUCACCGGAGCCUCAGUGAAGCUAUCUGGUGGAGCCACAAAAGGAGGAAAAAUGAAGGUAAUUGAGAUAUGCGGUGAAAUUAACAGAGGCAUCCCCAUCUGGCCGAGCCCAGGAGACGUGAGUGACUGUAGUCAGAAAACGAGGGCGUGUGAAACACCUCAGCCGCCAACUUCAUGAUCUCAACACGCGUGAAAUGCAAGGGACCACACCAUCGUCUCAAGGGAGAAAGGGCGGUGUACUCUGCAGUAUUGCCGGAAAUGCUUCAUUUUCACCUGGAUAUCUUGCAAUGCGUUUUCCAGAUAAUGGAUUGCAAUUUCCACUUGCCAUCCAGUCUGUUUGGGGACGUUCUAGGUGCCAGUCCAGAAAUGUAAUGAAAGUAAGCUCUUCCAGGACAGGAAACUGAUCUUAAAAACAAACAGCCUAACACUAGCGGGUAAUGCUUUUGUAAAAGGAAUAAAUACACACUUUGUAUAAAAUAUAUAAAAGAUAGGAAAUUUACGAACAACAAAGAUAGUACAAGCUAAAGUUAACCCUUUCACAUUCCCUUCUAAAUAUUUUAUGUCAUUUACACAGGAAUAGACCAGCAUAUAGAUAUGUAUGUAUAUGCAUGCAUACCCAUGUAUGUAUAAAUAUGUAUUUACAAACACAAAGUAUAUGUUCUGUUUUGUAAAUUUUUUUUCUCGUUUACCUCUUAUUGUGAAUACAUUUCAUGUAAAAAAGUAAUUAACAACUUUAUUUUAGUGGUGAAAGGUCCUUGAUAGUUGAAAGUUUAGAUUUUUCUCCAAACUUUAUUAUUGUAAAAAUGUGCUCAAGAUCUUAAAUGAAGGAGAAAUAAACAUUUGCUUUUGGAAUUAGUGAAGGCAUGUGUUUCAGGUGGGCGGCCCCAAAAUACACCUCUAUGGCACAUUGAUUAGUUUGAAUUAGUUACUUAAGAAAUGGCCGAUGCAAACAGGAUGCUUUGACCCUCGUCUGUGUCUCCCUGAAAGUAGGAAAUGGAUCUCCCGUGUGAAAUCAGCUCUCCCUGCUUCUGGAGGCAGACAGAAAACUGGGGGCUGAGAAGUCUGUAAAACGAACCUCGUCGCUGCUGUAAUUUACUGCCUCAAGCCCAACCUCCGUAUAGAUUCUUCACUAACUGAGCACCUAAAAACCCCAGCUUCUUUGUCCUGCCAAUUCCCAAUUUGUUGUUUCUUUGUUUAAAAAAGUAUAAAAGCUGCCUGCUUUGGUUACUUCUUGGGCUCCAUGUCUCUAAGACGUCUAUGCGCAUGGAUUAAAUGUGUUAUUAUUCUCCUGCUAAUCUGUCUUGUGUCAAUUUUAUUAUUAGCCCAGCAACAAGAACUCAUGAGGGGUAGGGGAGGAAAGUUUCUCCUCCCCACAC